GAGGACGGCUGGCGGCGUGCCUAAUACCUGCUAGUAAAACGCUAAAAAGAGGAGCUUGCUCUUCUUGGAUGAGUUGCGAACGGGGGAGUAACGCGUAGGUAACCUGCCUGGUAGCGGGGGAUAACUAUUGGAAACGAUGGCUAAUACCGCAAAAAAUUGAUUAUUGCAUGAUAAUUAAUUGAAAGAUGCAAUUGCAUCACUACCAAAUGGACCUGCGUUGUAUUAGUUAGUUGGUGAGGUAACGGUCCACCAAGGCAACUAUACAUAGCCUACCUGAGAGGGUGAUCGGCCACACGGGGACUGAGACACGGCCCAAACUCCUACGGGAGGCAGCAUUAGGGAAUCUUCGGCAAUGGACGGAAGUCUGACCGACCAUCUCGCCGUGAGUGAAGAAGGUUUUCGGAUCGUAUAGCUUUUUUGUAAGAGAAUAACUGAGUGUGAGAGUGCAAAUCUCACUCUGUUACGGUUUCUUACCAGAAAGGGACGGCUCACUAUGUGCCAUUUUCGCGGAAAUACCUAUGUCCCGAGCGUUUUCCGGAUUUACGC
rnacentral:rRNA from 1 species